rnacentral:rRNA from 1 species
CCUACGGGUGGCAGCAGUGAGGAAUAUUGGUCAAUGGCCGAGAGGCUGAACCAGCCAAGUAGCGUGCAGGAUGACGGCCCUACGGGUUGUAAACUGCUUUUAUACGGGAAUAACGCGCCUUACGUGUAGGGCUUUGCAUGUACCGUAUGAAUAAGGACCGGCUAAUUCCGUGCCAGCAGCUGCGGUAAUACGGAAGGUCCGGGCGUUAUCCGGAUUUAUUGGGUUUAAAGGGAGCGUAGGCCGCAUGUCAAGCGUGCUGUGAAAUGUCCGGGCUCAACCCGGGCCUUGCAGCGCGAACUGGCGUGCUUGAGUCCGCGGAAAGCAGGCGGAAUUCGUCGUGUAGCGGUGAAAUGCUUAGAUAUGACGAAGAACCCCGAUUGCGAAGGCAGCUUGCUGCAGCGGAACUGACGCUGAUGCUCGAAAGCGCGGGUAUCGAACAGGAUUAGAUACUCGUGUAGUC